AACGAACGCUGGCGGCAUGCCUAACACAUGCAAGUCGAACGAGACCUUCGGGUCUAGUGGCGCACGGGUGCGUAACGCGUGGGAACCUGCCCUUAGGUUCGGAAUAACUCCCCGAAAGGGGUGCUAAUACCGGAUAAUGUCUUCGGACCAAAGAUUUAUCGCCUUUGGAUGGGCCCGCGUUGGAUUAGCUAGUUGGUAGGGUAAAAGCCUACCAAGGCGACGAUCCAUAGCUGGUCUGAGAGGAUGAUCAGCCACACUGGGACUGAGACACGGCCCAGACUCCUACGGGAGGCAGCAGUGGGGAAUAUUGGACAAUGGGCGAAAGCCUGAUCCAGCAAUGCCGCGUGAGUGAUGAAGGCCUUAGGGUUGUAAAGCACUUUUACCCGGGAUGAUAAUGACAGUACCGGGAGAAUAAGCGCCGGCUAACUCCGUG
rnacentral:rRNA from 1 species